CCUACGGGAGGCAGCAGUGGGGAAUUUUGGACAAUGGGCGCAAGCCUGAUCCAGCAAUGCCGCGUGCAGGAUGAAGGCCUUCGGGUUGUAAACUGCUUUUGUACGGAACGAAACGGCCCUUUCUAAUACAAGGGGCUAAUGACGGUACCGUAAGAAUAAGCACCGGCUAACUACGUGCCAGCAGCCGCGGUAAUACGUAGGGUGCGAGCGUUAAUCGGAAUUACUGGGCGUAAAGCGUGCGCAGGCGGUUAUAUAAGACAGAUGUGAAAUCCCCGGGCUCAACCUGGGACCUGCAUUUGUGACUGUAUAGCUAGAGUACGGUAGAGGGGGAUGGAAUUCCGCGUGUAGCAGUGAAAUGCGUAGAUAUGCGGAGGAACACCGAUGGCGAAGGCAAUCCCCUGGACCUGUACUGACGCUCAUGCACGAAAGCGUGGGGAGCAAACAGGAUUAGAUACCCUGAUAGUCCACGCCCUAAACGAUGUCAACUGGUUGUUGGGUCUUCACUGACUCAGUAACGAAGCUAACGCGUGAAGUUGACCGCCUGGGGAGUACGGCCGCAAGGUUGAAACUCAAAGGAAUUGACGGCUGAGAGNGCGAGACGACGACGAGGGAGGAGG
rnacentral:rRNA from 1 species